GAUGAACGCUAGCUACAGGCUUAACACAUGCAAGUCGAGGGGCAGCGGGAUUGAAGCUUGCUUCAAUUGCCGGUGACCGGCGCACGGGUGAGUAACGCGUAUCCAACCUUCCGUACACUCAGGGAUAGCCUUUCGAAAGAAAGAUUAAUACCUGAUGGUAUGAUGAGAUUGCAUGAUAGCAUCAUUAAAGAUUUAUCGGUGUACGAUGGGGAUGCGUUCCAUUAGGUAGUAGGCGGGGUAACGGCCCACCUAGCCUACGAUGGAUAGGGGUUCUGAGAGGAAGGUCCCCCACAUUGGAACUGAGACACGGUCCAAACUCCUACGGGAGGCAGCAGUGAGGAAUAUUGGUCAAUGGACGAGAGUCUGAACCAGCCAAGUAGCGUGAAGGAUGACUGCCCUAUGGGUUGUAAACUUCUUUAUACGGGAAUAAAGUGAGGCACGUGUGCCUUUUUGUAUGUACCGUAUGAAUAAGGAUCGGCUAACUCCGUGCCAGCAG
rnacentral:rRNA from 1 species